rnacentral:misc_RNA from 1 species
GAUGAAGAACGUAGCGAAAUGCGAUAAGUAAUGUGAAUUGCAGAAUUCAGUGAAUCAUCGAAUCUUUGAGCGCACAUUGCGCCCGCCAGUAUUCUGGCGGGCAUGCCUGUUCGAGCGUCAUUUCAACCAUCAAGCCCCAGGCUUGUGUUGGGGACCUGCGGCUGCCGCAGGCCCUGAAAACCAGUGGCGGGCUCGCUGUCACACCGGGCGUAGUAGAUUUUAUCUCGCUCAGGGCGUGCUGCGGGUUCCGGCCGUUAAAAAGCCUUUUUUACCCAAGGUUGACCUCGGAUCAGGUAGGAAGACCCGCUGAACUUAAGCAUAUCAAUAAGCGGAGGA